rnacentral:rRNA from 1 species
GACGAACGCUGGCGGCGUGCUUAACACAUGCAAGUCGAACGGAAAGGCCCUGCUUUUGUGGGGUGCUCGAGUGGCGAACGGGUGAGUAACACGUGAGUAACCUGCCCUUGACUUUGGGAUAACUUCAGGAAACUGGGGCUAAUACCGGAUAGGAGCUCCUGCUGCAUGGUGGGGGUUGGAAAGUUUCGGCGGUUGGGGAUGGACUCGCGGCUUAUCAGCUUGUUGGUGGGGUAGUGGCUUACCAAGGCUUUGACGGGUAGCCGGCCUGAGAGGGUGACCGGCCACAUUGGGACUGAGAUACGGCCCAGACUCCUACGGGAGGCAGCAGUGGGGAAUAUUGCACAAUGGGCGGAAGCCUGAUGCAGCAACGCCGCGUGCGGGAUGACGGCCUUCGGGUUGUAAACCGCUUUCGCCUGUGACGAAGCGUGAGUGACGGUAAUGGGUAAAGAAGCACCGGCUAACUACGUGCCAGCAGCCGCGGUGAUACGUAGGGUGCGAGCGUUGUCCGGAUUUAUUGGGCGUAAAGGGCUCGUAGGUGGUUGAUCGCGUCGGAAGUGUAAUCUUGGGGCUUAACCCUGAGCGUGCUUUCGAUACGGGUUGACUUGAGGAAGGUAGGGGAGAAUGGGAUUCCUGGUGGAGCGGUGGAAUGCGCAGAUAUCAGGAGGAACACCAGUGGCGAAGGCGGUUCUCUGGGCCUUUCCUGACGCUGAGGAGCGAAAGCGUGGGGAGCGAACAGGCUUAGAUACCCUGGUAGUCCACGCUGUAAACGGUGGGUACUAGGUGUGGGGUCCAUUCCACGGGUUCCGUGCCGUAGCUAACGCUUUAAGUACCCCGCCUGGGGAGUACGGCCGCAAGGCUAAAACUCAAAGGAAUUGACGGGGCCCCGCACAAGCGGCGGAGCAUGCGGAUUAAUUCGAUGCAACGCGUAGAACCUUACCUGGGUUUGACAUGGAUCGGGAGUGCUCAGAGAUGGGUGUGCCUCUUUUGGGGUCGGUUCACAGGUGGUGCAUGGCUGUCGUCAGCUCGUGUCGUGAGAUGUUGGGUUAAGUCCCGCAACGAGCGCAACCCUUGUUCACUGUUGCCAGCACGUUAUGGUGGGGACUCAGUGGAGACCGCCGGGGUCAACUCGGAGGAAGGUGGGGAUGACGUCAAGUCAUCAUGCCCCUUAUGUCCAGGGCUUCACGCAUGCUACAAUGGCUGGUACAGAGAGUGGCGAGCCUGUGAGGGUGAGCGAAUCUCGGAAAGCCGGUCUCAGUUCGGAUUGGGGUCUGCAACUCGACCUCAUGAAGUCGGAGUCGCUAGUAAUCGCAAAUCAGCAACGCUGCGGUGAAUACGUUCCCGGGGCC